AGUGAACGCUGGCGGUAGGCCUAACACAUGCAAGUCGAACGGCAGCACAGUAAGAGCUUGCUCUUACGGGUGGCGAGUGGCGGACGGGUGAGGAAUACAUCGGCAUCUACUUUUUCGUGGGGGAUAACGUAGGGACACUUACGCUAAUACCGCAUACGACCUACGGGUGAAAGCAGGGGAUCUUCGGACCUUGCGCGAUUGAAUGAGCCGAUGUCGGAUUAGCUAGUUGGCGGGGUAAAGGCCCACCAAGGCGACGAUCCGUAGCUGGUCUGAGGGGAUGAUCAGCCACACUGGAACUGAGACACGGUCCAGACUCCUACGGGAGGCAGCAGUGGGGAAUAUUGGACAAUGGGCGCAAGCCUGAUCCAGCCAUACCGCGUGGGUGAAGAAGGCCUUCGGGUUGUAAAGCCCUUUUGUUGGGAAAGAAAAGCAGCAGGUUAAUACCGCGCUGUUCUGACGGUACCCAAAGAAGAAGCACCGGCUAACUUCGUG
rnacentral:rRNA from 1 species